AUUUAGACUAUCUUAUUGUUAAAUUGUGCAGUCUGCAAAGAGGUAAAAGAAGGGCUUCCUUCAUGUUUCUCAGUAUUUUAAUUUGACUUUUGAUAUGAACUUAUAUAGAAAUUAAUGAUUGCAUGGUCAUUAAUUAAAGUGAUAUCUGAUGUCUUCGACUGCAGUGCCAUGAACAUUUUCCUGGUUAUUAUUAAUUAAAAUAUUUAAU
rnacentral:lncRNA from 1 species